rnacentral:rRNA from 1 species
AGAGUUUGAUCCUGGCUCAGAUUGAACGCUGGCGGCAUGCCUUACACAUGCAAGUCGAACGGCAGCACGGGUGCUUGCACCUGGUGGCGAGUGGCGAACGGGUGAGUAAUGCAUCGGAACGUGCCCUGAAGUGGGGGAUAACGUAGCGAAAGUUACGCUAAUACCGCAUAUUCUGUGAGCAGGAAAGCAGGGGAUCGCAAGACCUUGCGCUUUGGGAGCGGCCGAUGUCGGAUUAGCUAGUUGGUGAGGUAAAAGCUCACCAAGGCGACGAUCCGUAGCGGGUCUGAGAGGAUGAUCCGCCACACUGGGACUGAGACACGGCCCAGACUCCUACGGGAGGCAGCAGUGGGGAAUUUUGGACAAUGGGCGCAAGCCUGAUCCAGCCAUGCCGCGUGAGUGAAGAAGGCCUUCGGGUUGUAAAGCUCUUUCGGCGGGGAAGAAAUUGCACUCGUUAAUACCGGGUGUAGAUGGCGGUACCCGCAUAAGAAGCACCGGCUAACUACGUGCCAGCAGCCGCGGUAAUACGUAGGGUGCGAGCGUUAAUCGGAAUUACUGGGCGUAAAGCGUGCGCAGGUGGUUGUGUAAGUCAGAUGUGAAAUCCCCGGGCUCAACCUGGGAACUGCAUUUGAGACUGCACGGCUAGAGGAUGGCAGAGGGGGGUAGAAUUCCACGUGUAGCAGUGAAAUGCGUAGAGAUGUGGAGGAAUACCGAUGGCGAAGGCAGCCCCCUGGGCUAUUUCUGACACUCAUGCACGAAAGCGUGGGGAGCAA